GUCUAUGGCCAUACCACCCUGAACGCGCCCGAUCUCAUCUGAUCUCGGAAGCAAAGCAGGGUCGGGCCUGGUUAGUACUUGGAUGAGAGGAAGAAGGGUUCGUAAGAGACA
rnacentral:rRNA from 1 species